rnacentral:lncRNA from 1 species
GCCACUGCUUCCAACAGACCUCUGAGCUGCUGGCACAGGCCCUGUGCUACCGCAACCCUGAAAUCAGGUACAGCUAACACAACCCCAACCCUGAGAUCAGGUACAGCUAACACAACCCCAAUAUCAGGUACAGCUAACACAACCCCAACCCUGAGAUCAGGUACAGCUAACACAACCCCAACCCUGAUAUCAGGUAUAGCUAACACAACCCCAACCCUGAAAUCAGGUACAGCUAACACAACCCCAACCCUGAGAUCAGGUACAGCUAACACAACCCCAACCCUGAGAUCAGGUAUAGCUAACACAACCCCAACCCUGAGAUCAGGUAUAGCUAACACAACCCCAACCCUGAGAUCAGGUAUAGCUAACACAACCCCAACCCUGAGAUCAGGUAUAGCUAACACAACCCCAAGAUCAGGUACAGCUAACACAACCCCAACCCUGAAAUCGGGUACAGCAAACACAACCCCAACCCUGAGAUCGGGUAUAGCUAACACAACCCCAACCCUGAGAUCAGGUAUAGCUAACACAACCCCAACCCUGAGAUCAGGUACAGCUAACACAACCCCAACCCUGAGAUCGGGUAUAGCUAACACAACCCCAACCCUGAGAUCAGGUAUAGCUAACACAACCCCAACCCUGAGAUCAGGUAUAGCUAACACAACCCCAACCCUGAGAUCAGGUACAGCUAACACAACCCCGAAAUUGGGUACAGCUAACACAACCCCAACCCUGAAAUCGGGUAUAGCUAACACAACCCCAACCCUGAAAUCGGGUAUAGCUAACACAACCCCAACCCUGAAAUCAGGUACAGCUAACACAACCCCAACCCUGAGAUCAGGUAUAGCUAACACAACCCCAACCCUGAGAUCGGGUAUAGCUAACACAACCCCAACCCUGAAAUCGGGUACAGCUAACACAACCCCAACCCUGAAAUCAGGUAUAGCUAACACAACCACAUCACAUACUGUAUAUCAGGUAUGUAUAUCAACCACAAUCCAACCAAGUGCUAACAGUCACUAUCUGGACAAUAUGUGUGAAAUGCUUGAUAAUGUAUGUGAUAUCAACAGACAGGUAUAUUUUCUGGGUAACCUAAAAAUGUACGGGCAUUCAUCAAGCUGUCCACUCAAGACAAAGCCUCAAACGAUAACAAGUGCCUGCAACCUGGUUCAGCUUAACAAUCAACCUACCACUGUAUUUACAAACAGCGCAGGAAUUAAAUCAUCCAAAUGGCUUGAUCAAAUCUUUACUGAUGCUGCAGAAAUCUACACAUUCAUCAGAUAUAGUGAUCAAAAUAUAGAAGUUAUAUCUAGGAAAACCAAAGGCUGGGCCUAA